UACGGAGGUGGCGAGCGUUGUCCGAAGUUAUUGGGCGUAAAGGGUGCGUAGGCGGUUUGGUAAGUCUUGUGUGAAAUCUACAGGCUCAACUUGUAGUCUGCACGAGAAACUGCCGGGCUUGAGUGUGGGAGAGGUGAGUGGAAUUCCUGGUGUAGCGGUGAAAUGCGUAGAUAUCAGGAGGAACACCUAUGGCGAAAGCGGCUCACUGGACCAUAACUGACGCUGAUGCACGAAAGCUAGGGGAGCAAACAGG
rnacentral:rRNA from 1 species